rfam:Gossypium hirsutum cultivar TM-1 unplaced genomic scaffold scaffold4599.1, whole genome shotgun sequence
AACCCAUGGUGAGGGCACCUUCUCAGUAAGUCCUUGUAUCUCUCCCAUGCAUCGUAAAGAGUUUCUAAAUCAAUCUGCACAAAAGUAGAGAUAUCAUUAAGUAAUUUGGCU